UUUAAAUUGUGGUAAAUGUUUAUAUUUAUAUAUGUGUAACAUAAAUGUUGCUAUUUUAACCAUUUUAAGGCGAAAUUCCGUGGCAUUGAGUACAUUCACAGUGUUGUACAACCAUCACCACUAUUUCCAAGACUUUUUCAUCAACCCAAACAACUCUGUAACUGUUAAGCAAUAACUUCCCAACGUUCCCCUCCUCUGAACCUUGGUACCACUAAUCUACUUUUCAUCUCUAAGAAUUUGCUUCUUCUAUUUAUUUAUUUAUUUGUUUAUUUUGGGAGAAAUAAGAACACUGGGUAGGAAGAAUUUGCCUAUCAUGGAUGCUUCAUAGAAGAAGAAUCACACAAUAUCUUGUUGCCCUUUGUGUCUGCAGAGUUAACUCUUUUCCCCAGUAAGCUGGACUUCUCAGCUUCUCAGACCCCCGGUUUCUCCCUGCCUCCCUCCCAGGAAUGCCGUUGGGGUGGGAGUCCCAACAUGAGUGAUGUCAUCACAGGGAGGGCCAGUCCUGUGGAAGCUCAGAGUCCCCUGGUCCCCAGCAGGUAGAAGCACCUGGCCUGGUCCUCAGCGAUACGGACAGGACCAAUGAAGCAGCAUGUUAGGGGGCAAGAAAAAGGAGUUUCCAGCAGGGAGACGGGCCAAGGAGUGACCCCCAAAGCGUCCAGGGGCCUGGGCACUACACUGCCACAGGCAGCCAGGGGCGAGCCGUAGAUGGACCAUAUUGGGCACAUUUGGUGAUGGUUUUGCUGAAGUGUGCCUGGAAGCUGCUGUCCACACUGGAACAAGCCUCUGGCACCUAUUGGGCACCUCCUAAGCUAGAAGGUGGCUCAGUUGUGUUGUCCUUACUGGCGGGGGGGAAGCUCUUGAGGCUGUUUCCCCACUCACAGCCCCCAGCCCCAGGAAGAGGCCUCUUCCUCUGACCUCAACCUCAGCUGGAAGCACAAAGCAGAGCCUGCUCAGCCCUGCCCUUCUCUGGUCUUCAGAACCUCGUGCUGCCCUUCUACCCAAGCUGUCUGUGCCUGCUCUCUGCACAAUGGCCAUCCGGAGGUAGUCCUGUGUCCGGUCCUUCCUUGGCCGGAGGCAAUAUCCAGACCCUUCCUCCACCCUUCCAGGGUUCCCGCCCACUCCUGAAUCUCCACUUUGAAAGCUUUCCACGGACAAGUGAUCUCUCACAACCGCCUUCACUUCCCCUCCCAGUCCAACCUGCCCCUCCCACAGGCCCCAGCCUACCCAUUUCCUCUGCCCUUUUCACCCUUUGGCGCCAGAACUCAGCCAUUCUGAGCCUUUGGCCCAGCUCUUUCCUCCUUCCAGCUGCUCCUGUGCUGGGGCCUCCCAUCUCUUGCUUUUUCUCUUUGGCGUUAACUGUUACUCAGCCCUGCACCCCAACAAAGAAAUGCACCCUGAAAGCCUGUGGCACUAAGGUAUGGGGGACAUCAAAGGCAACCAGACUCAGCACAGACCUAACACUUGAGUUACCUAUUUGGAAAUGUUAAAUGCAGGCCACUGCAUUGCUAGGGUGUGUGUGUGUGUGUGUGUGUGUGUGUGUGUGUGCGCGCGUGCACACGCGCAUGCGCCAGUAGACUCUGGGUCCUUCCAAGAAGCUUUUCAAAGCAACCUUUCUCCCCCUUGCCAGAAACAAUGAAUUAGUGAGGAUGAGCCCAAACAGGAUUAAUAGUCCUUUUCUGGUUACCCGAGUUUCUUGCUUCUUGUAUAACACAGCAGCCACAGGGUUUCAAGGUUUCUUUGAGAAGAUGCUAGAGCAAUGACUACAGAGCUUAUAAAAUUACACAGAACGGUAUGUUUGAAAAGAUCAUUUUCUGUAUUCAGCUCUGUGAAAAGUUUUCCAUAAGAGCAGCAACAGUCGGAUAAAGGUGCCUGCCCACAUAAAACAGCUUUAGUAGGGUUUCAGAUCCCUUUCAGAGUGUGGGGAAGAGAGAAGGGAGGGGAAAGGACUAUCAAAAGGAAAAACAAGUCCGCAUGCUUUGAUUUGGCCUUGGUGACCAGGACAACACACUCUGAGGGUGCCACAGUCAAUAUUCGCUUCACUGAGCUUCUUAUCAGGCUCCAACCUAUGGGGAGCAAAGGGCAGAGCUUGGCAAGAGCCCAGGUGCUGUGUGAGGGUUCAGGGUGAGGCCCCGGCUGAUUAAGCUGUCCUGGGCCUUUCGGUCAGAGGCUCCCUGCAAAGAGGUCCUUGGAAAAGGCUUACUUGCUGCAAGGCAACCUCCUGGGAUCCCUGCACCAAAGUUUUCAGAUCUGGAAACUGGCAAAUUUUUGUUAGACAAAUAUGUGGUUGAUGUGCAGGUUUUUCUAAACAUGAAACAAACCCCACAAGUUAUAAGGGGGAAAAGUGGUGGAUUUGAUUACAGAAAUACCACAAUCCAAGUUAAAAACAGACUGGGAGAAAAUAUUUGCAUUAUAAGUUACAGACAUAGGUUUAAAUCUACGAUAUACAAAGAGCUCCUAUACAUCAAUAAGGAAGAACAUGAAAUAUAAAUGUCCACUAACAUGAUUUAAGUUGCUCAAUCUCACCAAUGAUUUUUAUUAAUAAAAUGUAAACACCAACUCUUAGGUGCUGAAGAAGAAAUAGGGGAAGGCAGAUCUUGUAGGUAAGGGACACUAGAUUAAAGAGCUAGAGGACUUGAAAGCUUAUCACCUGUCCUGGAAGACUCAGCAAAUCAUUUUCCAUGUUUGGGACAAUGUUCUAGUUUAUAUUUUCGUGGAAGUUGCGUAAAGGAUAAUGUUGGUCUUCUGUCUCUUGAAUCAGGCAUAAACAUGGCUUCUUAUGCCUAUCCCCCUUCUCAGAGCAGCUCAGAACACUUAUCACACCUUUCUCCUUGACCCUCACCUCUCUGGAAGAUUAGAAGCAGAAGAUUUAUUGGAUCAACUUCUCAGCUGUGGAAUCUGAGCAAACAGAAGGGAAGUGGCUGAGGUAAGACACCCCUGGCAGCCCUUGGUGAAUGUUGCAACUGGUCUGGGGCACUUGCCCUGUCCCCAAGGGGGUCUGUGUGUACCACAGGGUCUGCUGUCCAGAUGGCUGCAUGGGGCAUGGGGAGCAGGCAAGGGCUACACAAUAGAAAGGUAAGAAAGUGCACUGACUUUAUUUUCAGGCAAUGCGGGUUAGGAUUCUACCUCCUACUGCAUGCUCCUGCACGCAUUGUCCCAUCUUUUUGCAUCCUGGGUUCCUCUUCCAUAAAAUGGGCACAGUACUCCUCACCUCCCAGUCCCCUUGCCUUACCAUUGUCCUUACCACUCGAUUGGACAUAUUUCAGAGACAGCCUUACCCUCUGUUACUUAACGGUUUCAGCUCCCCAAACUAGAUCACACGACUUCAUGGGCUAGAGCUGUGUCUCCGGAGAGGUCAGGGACCCCAGGAAGCUAACAGCACUGGGGCCCUGCCAUCGUCACUUUUGAACUCGCAGCACCUGGCACACUGUGUUGCACAUGGAAGGUACAAAAUAAUAGUUACAGAAUGAAUGAAGGAAACUAUGGAUGAGGGAGCCGAGGGUCAGAAAGGUGAAGUGUCCUGCCAUGGGCCAUAUGACCCAUUAAUACCUGGCAAGCACUGUGCCGUCCACUUUCUUCUUUAUCAAGGGCAAAUGGUGAGGAGAAAACACAGCCAAGCAUACUGGCUCAUGAAGUCUCGUGUUUUCCAGGGAAAGUCCCAUUUCACAUCUGUUUUCUCUUACGAUUAUAAUAAUGCCCACUUUUACUAUCAAAAGUGUCCCUUUUUUUUCUUAAAGAUAUGGACUGCUUCACGAAUUUGCGUGUCAUCCUUGAACAGGGGCUAUGCUAAUCUUCUCUGUAUCAUUCCUAUUCUAGUAUAUGUGCUGCUGAAGCAAGCACAAAAGUAUCCCAUUUUGGAUGAUAAAGUCUCUGUUCUCUCUGUUAUGAGGGAGAGUGGACAGAAGGUCUCUGUGUUUCCCUGACUCCAUCUACUCUCCCACCCCUCACCUCUCCUGACCUAACAGAAACACAAUUAAAAUGUCACUUCAUUAUCUAUUCACUGAAAGCCACACUGGAACUGCACUCCCCACAAAGGCCAACUUCCCCCAGCAAAAUCCGCCUUAAGGGUGCCCUCAUGGCCUGUGCAUUGGGGUGAUGGGGUUCCCAGCUGCUUAACUGCCUUCCACUAUAUCACCAGCAAGUGGACCAAAGACCCUGCCUCAGCAUUCUUACUGUGCUGAAUGAUGGGCACCUGCUUGCCAGGCCUGUGCCAAAGAAGCCCUCUACCCACACCCCAAGGGCUAACUAGUAUCCAGUCUUCCUAUUCUGCAGGGGGCAUCUGGACCUGAACAGGGACUCAUCCAUCAAAGCUCUUGGGGGGCCUGGCAGCCUCUCCAGAGAAGGAUGCGCAGACUGAGGGAGGCCUCAGACCAGCUGUAUCCCUGGACCAGAGGUCACAGCGCUGGCUAAGGAAACCUUCCAUGCAGGAGUGCUGUGAGCUGAGCAGUGCAUAAGAAAAGAGUGUUUGUGGGAAUCAGCAUUUUACCACCUGGCAGACCUGCCUGGGCUGUAGCAGAGCCUCCCCACUCAGUGGACAAGGGACAGGAGGGAUCAAAGGUUGAGGAAAGAUAUUAUUUCAAUCAAGAUAAUGAUUCUACUUCUUGAACGGAAAUGAGAUUUUUUUUCAUUGCCUCAUGGGGGUGCCACCAACAUCUGUCUCCGGGCUGGAACAGGUCAUGAACAAGUUAGAGGAUUUUCUUGUAACCUGAGAGAGAGUGUAAACAUGAAGGAGAACUGAAAGAAGGGAGCUUGCUUGCAAGAGAAAAACAUAUCUGCCAGGCCUCCACGAUUAUAAAAUAAGCUCAAUUUGGAAAAUGUACACUGGCAUUGAACAGAGCAUUCAAGACCGAACUUCAGAAGGUAAGUGUCCGGUGUGAGCCCUACAGCCUGGAAUUCAAGUGAGGUAAAUGGCCUAAAAAUGCCAUGAUAAUACCAAAGAUGCACAGAGGAGACUCAGCUAUGACAGGACCUUAGACGUCUUCUAAGCCUGUUGUCAGGCAGUGUGGAUCAGCUGUGUAACUGUGCUGACGGAUGACCUAGCUCCUGUUUCAGCCCCUUCUACCAGAGGGGGCUCGCCACCAAAAGAACCCAUUCCAUCUUGGACCAGAUCCUGUGUUGAGGAAGUACCUCCAAAUUAUAGUCAAGUCACUGAAUAAAAGGAAACCACAGUGAAAACUCACACGGUGCUGACAAUGCAGGAAAUCUAAAUGCACUUUGGAAACAGAAUACACAAUAUGCAAAUGACAUCAGAUAAUAAAUGCAGGGAGACCUCAAUGAUUUGCACUAAAUAGUGAAGUUAGUGAAAUUUUAAAUUAUUUUAAAUAUUUGGGAAUUCCAGGGGCUGUCAUGCGGUAUCUCAAAUAAUUUGCUUUAAAUAAUAAUUUAAAUUUUAUGUAUAAUUUGCUUUAAAUAAUAAUUAUUAUUUGCAAUGAGAAAUAAAAAUAAUUUAUUAUUUGCAAUUAGAAGUAAAAAUAAUUUUCAAUUCCUAUAUCAAUUGUUUAUAUAGUAACUCUAAAGAGUUCGAAAACGUUUGUAAAGUUCUUAUGCAUUUUAAACAUUCCACUGAGAGCUGAAUCAGGCUAUUAAUUGCUCCCUCUCCAAAGAAAAGGCCUAUUUCGGCUCAAUCCCUUCUGGAAUAACCCCAACUGCUGACUCUAAAGACCCAAGAAGGUGGCACCUUUCUAUACUGCAUCAGAUUCACCAAAAUUUUGGAAUCUAAACCACAGUCUUGUUGGUUGUAGACUAUCAUUGGAAAGUAACACAAAACUCUGGCAAUAUUGGUUGUCUCUAGGACAGGAGCCUGCUUGAGGCCAGAGGUAGAGGGGAGACUUUUUACAAUAUACCUUCUGGUACUUUUGAAUUUAGAGC